GCCUGUGUGGCUCAGUCAGUUGAGUGUCCGACUUCGGCUCAGGUCAUGAUCUUGCGGUUUGUGAGUUCGAGCCCCGCCUCGGGCU
rnacentral:tRNA from 1 species